CCGUCAAUUCCUUUGAGUUUCAGCCUUGCGGCCGUACUCCCCAGGCGGAGUGCUUAUUGGGUUACCUUCGGCACAGAGGGCGGAAACCCCCAACACCUAGCACUCAUCGUUUACGGCGUGGACUACCAGGGUAUCUAAUCCUGUUCGCUACCCACGCUUUCGCGCCUCAGCGUCAGUUACAGGCCAGAGAGCCGCCUUCGCCACUGGUGUUCCUCCCGAUCUCUACGCAUUCCACCGCUACACCGGGAAUUCCACUCUCCUCUCCUGUACUCAAGCCCGCCAGUUUCGGAUGCCACCCCACGGUUGAGCCGUGGUCUUUCACAUCCGACUGAACAGGCCGCCUGCGCGCGCUUUACGCCCAAUAAUUCCGGACAACGCUUGCCCCCUACGUAUUACCGCG
rnacentral:misc_RNA from 1 species